AGCAAAAAAGGUAAAGUUACUGUUCAUGGUAGAUAGUAUAAAUUUGAAAAGUUACUGUGGAGGCCGGUAAUUUUUCUUUUCUCUCCCUCUCUCCUCCUCCCCGCGUUUUUCUCUCUCUCUCCUCGUCGCUCUGCAACUUCGGCCACUUUCCUUUUCCGGCCACCUGGCGGUGCAUGGCGGGUACCGGCGGACUCGUCUCGACUUCCUCUUGGCGCCUGCGGUGGUGGCUCACGGCGGCUUGGCCGGAAAACGAAGCAUCGGGUCCUUGAAGUUUCACUGUAGCAAAUUGGUCAACGCCGGUUUCUCCCGAUUCCGGCCACCUCCGGUGACGAACCAUAAUCAUUUGGAAGCGCCUUGCGAUGUAGAUGAUGCUCCCCAAAUCUUUUGCAGCGAUUUGAAGCGUGGAGGAAGAAUUGAAGGGCAAUGUUGCGAGCUACGGCUAGAUGAAGGGACUCGUUUGCGUGGUCGCCAACUAGUACUUUUGCAGGCGUUAUUAGUUGAGGUCGGGCGUACAUGGUUCGAGGCAUAGUUGACGAAUAGCUUCCGCACUUCUUUGUUUGGCUCUGAUCUAUUGUGGGUUACUAUUUUGGGUAGUCCUCUUUAGGGGUGACUCGACCAGUUCUCGGUAGAGUUAUCUCUAAGGUGGGCCCCGCAGGGCCACCUCGGAUUUCAGGGUGAAAUUCGGGGCGGGUCC